AGCAGCAGCAGCAGCAGCAACAACAGCAGCAGCAACAACAACAGCAGCAGCAGCAGCAACAACAAGCUCAACAACAGGCAGCACAACAGGCCGCGCAACAAGUGCAGCAACAAGUCCAACAACAAGUGCAGCAACAACAACAGCAGCAGCAUCAGCAGCACCAGACGAACUUGGACAUAGAACAGGACCACAAUCAACCAGCGCAUAUACAAGUGGUAACGAACCGGUCAGGCCAAGUGAUCGGUAACCAGAUAGUGGUGGGGUCACUAAGUGGCGUCGGCGCACGACGCUUGGUAGCCGGUUCACAGCUGCACAUCAUUCGUGACGCCAAGUCCGCGCCGCACUUGCACGCCAAGCGCGCGAUACACGCCGCCGGCGAUGUGAAAGAAGUCGGUGGGCUGGUCCUAUCAACGGGUAGAGGAACGGGCCUCAUCAAGUACGAGAUAUCCAUCCCUCCACCAACGUCCGUGGUUCAAGUCCAACAGCUGGACUGAUCCAUGGCCCGCGGCCGAGCCGACUCGUCCGACUGACAGGGAUACAGUGACCUUGGACAGUGAGUGCACUGUGAAAGUGAAAGUGAAUGUGAACGGACACCUGGACGUGGAACACACUGUGAAUAUAACUGACAGGUAACGUCCAAAUGUCACAGUUGUCAAAUAUGUUAAAAUAGCAGUGUUGUAGUCUUUUUUUGCAGUACCAGUGACUGACAAGUUUAAACUUAUGGUAAUUGAGCAGAUGUUGAUGUCAAAAUCUGUAUGUAGUAUUCCAUCUAGAUAUGUCUUAGCAAAUCUGACCUCAUCAUUGUUUUAUUAAAAGCACACGUCAAAUUUUCCAUUUCAACUUGCGAGCGAUGUGGGUGGGAAAUGUUCUAAAAAUAUGUUUGUAAUAAAGAUAUUGAAAAUCCAAAGUAAGUCUUCCGAAGAAAGGUUGUAAACACCAGGCGAUGUUAGAACUAACUGUUUUUUUUAAUAAUACCAUCUCUCACACACUUGAAAAUUAGAACAUGCACAUUUUGCAUUUAAUGUAUUGAGCAAGUAAAAACCUACUUGCAUGAUAUAUUAAAAACUCAUUGUGAUCCAGUUACAUAAAAUAAUAGUUUUUUAAAAUACUACACUAAUUGAAUCUUCCAUUUGAGUAGAGAAUAGUUAUCGAUGAUAUACCUAAGUUUCCUGUUAUAUGUGGUUAGAACGAGUAGUGAAAUGUAUCUUAGCCUUUAUUUUAUUGUUGCUAGGUAGACGAUCACAUAUUCUCUGCUUGAAUGACUAUUGUUAAUUGUAAAUAGUAGACGUCCAAUGAUUGUUACCUCAAUUUGUUUGAGCCUCAUGUUGGUAGGUAAGCUUUUGUAUGGGCAGCGAUGAGUGCAUUUACAUUGACUCAAUAAAAUGGAGUAUAAUGUCAUGUUUUCAAUUAUAAUUUUGUUGUAAUUAAUUUUCACUAAAGCCCGGUCCGUGAGCACGUAUAAUUUUGUCCAAUGACCCCAAGCUACCUAUCCUUAUCGCUCGCGUGCAAUUAUAUUGCUGUCGCGACUGUGCGACAGGCGCCCGCAGUGAGUGUGCGAGCGCGACAGCAACAUAAUUACGAUACGAACUACGAUAGGUAGUUUGGGGUCAUUGGACGAAAUUCUACGUGCUCACAGACCAGACUAUACACCGUCUUUCCAUAAUGUCAAGAAAUAAAAACCUCAUAAAUAAAUAAUAUUAUAUUUUGUGUUGUUUUGUCUGGUUUGGAAUGAGGUUGCAGUGAAACGUUUACUGUCAUGUUAUGUAUGUCGAAGAAAGUAACUUUAUUUGCGGGAGCCUGUAAGAUUGAGGUACGGCACAAUUGGUCCCAAAUAUUGAAUAUUGGACAAAUAUUGGCUAGUAAAUAAUAUUCCUUGAGGAAUAAUAAAAUCGUAAGAAUACCAACAGAUCGGAAAGCUUUAUUUAAAUAUACGUCUCAUUGACAGCCUUAAUUAAGUUGUCUUUUUAAUGGAUAAUCGCGUGAUUCAUAGUGUAAACUACUUAAUUUCUCGGUGGCAAUAAUAUGUGAAGCGCUCGUUGUAUUAUAAGGGUAUGCUCUAAAAUUUAGAGUGUCAUUGCGAUUGUGUAAAAAGACAGGAGUACCUACCAUAUUUGUAAUGUAUUAUAGAGUAGAGCGUAAGGGUAAUGUAGUUACUAGCUUAGUGUAAUCUCUUGUACAUAUCAAUACGUUUUGUAUCGGCAUCGACGCGCGGUUUUGUAAGUAUAAACAACUGUACAAUCUCUCUGUAGGUACCGCAUUUAAUUUACUUAUGUUAUAUUGUAACGGCCUCUUUUUUUAUAAGUCGGUUAAGUACAUAAAGAUGUUAUUUGCGUCUUAAGUAAUAGAUGGCAGGUUACGGACGUAUAAUGUGCAAUCGGAAUUCAAGAUUUAGUUGAAACAUCAUAGAUCUGAGAGUGACAAUGAUUACAAAGAUUUUAUAACUUGGCACUUUGUACGGUACAGCUGACCUCACUUGGAACGAAAGUAAGAACUGAUGGUAGCUUGCUUUUAGGGUGAAAUUGCAUGUGUCUGACCCAACCUCAUUUUCGGAUAUUUGUAAGUUGAUUUUCCAAAAGGGGUGGGAUUAUUUUAAGCCUUCAGAUAAACUGGGUACGUUAUAAAGUAUUAAAACACAAGACUUGAUUAUUUUUGUUUUCUCUAGAUGACUAUUAAUUGUCUUUGAAGAACUCCUUAAUUCAGGUAGUUUUAAAACAAUCUGUAGCAUAUUAGUUUGUAUUAAAGUCAGACAAUCAAUUUCAUCCUGCAUAAUUGUAUCUUUUAAUUUCGUAUUUUUUUAAUUUAAGUUGAUUUAUUCAUAAGAAUACAUUAUGAUUAAUGCUUAAAGAAUUAAUUUGUGUUGUUUAAUAUUUAUUUAUGUAUGUAUGUAGUCGAGUCAGGUCACCAGUUCCGUUCACGUAGUUCGAAGUGGCAAAGCUUCCAUGUCUUCUGAAAUAUUGUGUUUCUAGUCUGUGAUAGAGAGUGUAUAUUUCUAUCUAAGAGAAUCCUAUAUGGUAACAUUUUUAUUUGAAGUUAUAAAUGUCGUGAAACAAUUGUCUCAACUAAUAUUCUAUAUCUGUUGUGCUGCAUUAACUGUUAAAAAUGGUUUAUUUAAGUAAAUACAUAAAACACUUUGAUGAAUCAGAAAAAGAAAAGGUUUUAUAAAAUUAUUAAACUGUACUUGUGAAAACCUCUCAUAUAGGGUGGAAGUUACACUCUAUCGCUCCUCGCCUGACCGCCUUGCAGUGAGUGAGUGUGUCAGGGAGUUCCAACUAUAAUGCUUGGUU